rnacentral:tRNA from 1 species
AUUGAUUUAGUAUAAUUAUAAGUUAGUACGGGCCACUGUUAAUGGUCAGGAGAGUUUCCGUCAAUCAUUG